AUGGAGGUCCGACCCAACCAAUGGAUGGAUGGGGAUGAAACCCUAGCCCAACACCCACCCAUGGAUGGAUGGGGAUGGGGCGGCGGCGGCGGCCUUCUCUCGGUGCUUGCUGAUGUGGUGGACAUCGACUUCGGUGACGGGUUGCAGCACGUAGACAUCAAAGGUACUGACACCCUCCAUCCUCAAGGUUUCUUCCCCUCGCGAUGUUGCUUUGUAGGUGGCCAGGAUCUCCGCGGUUGGCAUCGGCAUCGGCGUCGUCUACGGCUCUGUCAGGCUCGACAUCCUCAAGGCACUAGCAAUGUUUUACCAUUGACAGAGCAUUGUGAAUAUGGUAACAGACUACUUGGGUGUUCUGAAAUCGAAUUCUGUAUAUAA
rnacentral:rRNA from 1 species